UGAGGAAAAUCAGAUGGCACAUUUAGCUCU
rnacentral:piRNA from 1 species